UGAUAUGAGGCCCCCAACACAUAUACAGCAGAGGACUGCCAGUGAUGAUGUCUCUGGACCCAGAUGAUGGAGUGAAAGCCUGAUAGCUCAGAGAAGCAGAGAAAGCGCCCAGCAUCCAGCUGACCACCUUCCUCAGCAAAUGUCCCCAAACGAAAAGCAUGCUCUCUGUCUCCACACAGUCUCAAAACCCCAUUAAACUGAAUGUCCCUCCUUUCUA